AGUGAACGCUGGCGGUAGGCCUAACACAUGCAAGUCGAACGGCAGCACAGUAAGAGCUUGCUCUUACGGGUGGCGAGUGGCGGACGGGUGAGGAAUACAUCGGAAUCUACUUUUUCGUGGGGGUUAACGUAGGGAAACUUACUCUAAUACCGCAUACGACCUACGGGUGAAAGCAGUGGAUCUUCGGACCUUGCGCGAAUGAAUGAGCCGAUGUGGGAUUAGCUAGUUGGCGGGGUAAAGGCCCACCAAGGCGACGAUCCGUAGCUGGUCUGAGAGGAUGGUCAGCCACACUGGAAGUGAGACACGGUCCAGACGACUAAGGGAGGGACCAGUGGGGAAUGUUGGGCAAUGGGCGCAAGCCUGGUCCAGCCAGACCACGUGGGUGAAGAAGACCUUCGGGUUGUAAAGCCCUUUUGUUGGGAAAGAAAAGCAGCAGGUUAAUACCACGCUGUUCUGACGGUAACCAAAGAAUAAGCACCGGCUAACUUCGUG
rnacentral:rRNA from 1 species